UGACUGAGUACAAUUAUAAUCGUUUAUACAAUGAAUGGUGUCAUAUGAACCUGACAUAUUAAACAAUUACAAUCUUAAUCAUUUAUACAAUGAAUGGUGUCAUAUGAAGCUUACAUUAUUAAUACCUGGUUCACACUGGUCGUAAGAAUCGGGGAUUUCCAUUGUCUGUGAUCAUUGGUGUGUAAAAUGCUUUGUCUGUUGGAAAAGAAUACAAUAGAUCGCCGAUAAUUUACGACCAGUGUGAACCAGGCUUAAACAAAAAUGUCAACAAAAUAGAUUUUGUCUCUCCAUUGGCAGAUUGUUCAGUUGUUCUGCGGUAGGGGUAGCCUUGAAGGUACCAUUAAAAUGAUAAUAGGGACAAAAACUGACUUACAGGUUGU